rnacentral:rRNA from 1 species
UACGGUGGGGGUAAGCGUUGUUCGGAAUUACUGGGCGUAAAGGGCGCGUAGGCGGCCUGCUAAGUCGGAUGUGAAAUCCCUCGGCUCAACCGAGGAACUGCCUUUGAAACUGUCAGACUUGAGGCCGGGAGGGGGUAGCGGAAUUCCCAGUGUAGCGGUGAAAUGCGUAGAUACUGGGAGGAACACCGGUGGCGAAGGCGGCUACCUGGACCGGUUCUGACGCUGAUGCGCGAAAGCGUGGGUAGCAAACAGG